CAUGAAAGAUAUUUAGUGUUGGUUGAAAGACAUUCGGUGACUCGUGAUAUUGGCUACAUGACAGUAGAAUUUUCGGAGCAGUAUGAACUACUGUAAUCCGUUGAAAAUUCGUAGACGUUCAUGUGAAAAGUUUCGUUGAAAAUGUGCCAGUGAACUAUACACCUUAGUCUGAAACAGUGUCAAGAUACGUGAUACAACUCUAUAACCAAGUAGUGUGUAUUUUAUUUUGGUGAUAAUUGAGAAAAUAAGUUGCUUCAUGAGCUAUACUUGAGAAAAAAAGUUAUUACAAUGUGCUGUACUAGACUGAUGGAUGUUGCAGUCUUCUGACAUCAAGUUGAAAAAUUUAGUCUCUGAAUCUCAAAAAAUGUUGUCACACCACGUGUAUGAUCCCCUGAUGCUGAAGCCCACGCCUUAUAGAGCGUGUGGCUGGGGCAGUGUGGAUUGGUGUUGUGGUGACGUGAUGCGCCGCCCCACUUUUUGUCACAACAGUGUGGCCGCUGUGGAAGCCACCCAUAGGGGGCAACCGACUCCCCCCUCCCAGGGUGCACCCACCAUUGACAAGGAAGAGACGAGGCUAGCUCGUAUGAAGCGCAUUUUCACGGGCUCCCUGCUGAUGGGCCGUCGUCCCCCCGCCGGACCACCCCUCAAGACAUUCGCCGUGCACCUGGAGGAUCUGCCUCUCACCAACGAAGGUCUGCCUCGUGUCGUUGUGCGCAUCACUACCUUUAUUGAGAAAUACGGUCUGCAACUAGAAGGCCUGUUCAGGCUGUCAGGCGGCAACCCGACGCUAGUGGAGCAACUGAAGGCGUCGUUUGAUAGGACAGGCGACGCCGAUCUGGAGGGCUGUGGUGACGUCACUAGCGUCGCGGCGCUCCUCAAACUUUGGCUCAGAGAUCUGCCCGAACCCGUUGUGCCGGCGGUCACAGCUGCUGAGCUCGUGUCUCUUUUGCAUAAAUACAAAGGGGGCGCUGAUGAUACAGAAGCAUGGUGCUCUGAAACAGGGCGUCUGCUCUGCUGCUGGGGAGGCCAAGGGGUGCCCGGACAGGGGGUGCUGCGUGAACGCAACGCAAGGCUUUUGCGUUGCAUCCUCAGACUGUUGCACCGCUAUCAGCUGAAUCAGCUGGCGGCACAUCAGAUAAACCAGCAGACGACGCAAAAUCAGCUGAUGCAGAAUCAGCUGGCGCCUGUGUUUGCGGCGUUGCUGUUGAGUGUGGAUGACGGGAUGCCUCGUAUUGCAUCACCCGAUACGACGGCUGUCGUCUGUGCGUUGAUUGCUAAUUAUGACCGGGUCUAUGAUGAGAGUAUGUCAUGUGGCGACGUGAAGAUGGACGGUGCCAGUACACCGGAAACGCGUCUGUUUUCGGCGGGAAAGAAUAAAAGUUUGACUUUGAGUGAAACGACUCCGCUGCAACUGGCAUACAGCGGAAGUAAGAAGCAGCGCAAGCGCAAAGACCGGCAGAGCAGUGCUGACAGAAAGUUUGUCAGGUCCAACUCGGAAGAACGUCCAUGCAAGUCGAGCUGCGGCGGUGUGCUGGUGGUGGGGGGUGCGGGAGGGGUCGCUGGGGGUGCAGGGGUUGGCGACGAGUCGAUUCGCCGAGUGAGCAGUCACGAGGACUUCAGCCGAGCACGCUCGCACCACAAGGGCGCUCAACCGCUCAUGGAGCUCAUCUCGGAGACGGCUGCUUGCAUUCAGAUGUCAACCCCGUCAGCGCGACCUCUACACGAGCGCAACCAACAGUUCGUUCGCAGUGCUUCCACUAACAACCCCUCUCCCAAUAACACCACCAAAAACAACAACCUCAACAACAACAACAACAGCAGCGCUGUCAAGGUCACUCCCGAGUACAAAAACAACAACGUCAAGGUCACCUCUCCAGAGUUCAACAACAACAACAACAAGCCGGAAUCAGCUGAUCCGUUGCCAUGGCAACAUGACGUCACAGACGCCAGACGCGAUGAGUCGCUGGCGGUCAGUGUGGUGUGUUCUCCUCCCUCCACCCUCCUAGACGAGGAGGAGGAGAGAGAGCAUGAGAGGAGGAGAAGCAGUGAACGGUUUGCGCCCUGUCCCAGCGGAGGAGGGGUGGGGGUGAUGGGUAGACGCGGCAGAGGGGAGAACGGCGAGAGAAGGAGACGGAAGGUGGUGUCUAGGGGAUCAGUUGGCUCGCACGGUCGACGCCAUGGCAGAUCGCCGCGGCGUGAGAGAGAGACAGACAAAGAGACUGAGACGGAGACAGGUGACUCUUCGUCCAAGGAGAAUGAAGACCUAGAACAGAUACGGACGCCAGUGAGCGGGGGUGCGUCGCGACGUUGCAGCACUCUUAUGGUGGUAUCACCGCCGGCGCAACGAAACCGGGCACCCUUGGCGUCGCAACAGGCGUCGUUCUCGGGUGAGGAGGAGGCUGGUGGUGGGGGUAGUGAGGGAGGAGUAGGAGGAGAGGGCAGCCUGUCGAGGAGUAGCACUGAGGAGAGUGAGGAGGAGUUGAACGAGCCUAAGCAUGAUCCUGAUGCCUCGGCUGAGGACGAGAAAGCAGAACCCGAAUCAACUAAGAACGCCGAGGUGGAAGUAGGAGAAGAGGAGGAGGUGAAAGGUGAUGUGGAGGAGCUGGAGGAGGAGGACGAAGACGAUGAUGAUGAGGAAGUGGAGGAGGAGGAGGAAGGAGGAGAAGAGGUGAACAGUGAUGAGCCCGUUCUGGACUUGAACCGACUUCACCGCGACGUAGAUUUAAGUGAGCCGGUUCCGAGUCGUCAUGACUGGAGCUUUGCGCCUCCGUUGCCUCAACCUCAGCAAGACGAGGCCAGUUCGCUGCGUUCUAGCGCGACGUUCGCGGCCGGACAUCGCGCGUUCGAGGCCGCACAGGCGGUGAGUGAAGCAGCUGCAGCCACUCCAUCCGACCAACUCCCUCUGUCAGGACGCACCCACAUCUCGGUCAUCGAGCACCAUCAUGCUAAGCAGAUUCACACGCUGAAGAAAAGACUGAAACGAUACGAGGAGGGAUUCGAACGUGAGUUUGGAUAUAAGCCGUCGUCGGCUGAUAAGAUGGCCAACCCUGACACCAAGAAGAUGUGCCUCUCCCUCUCCAAACUCAGGCGAGAACUCAAACAACUGAAGUCAGAGUCGACACUGUGCCAGUCAUCUUCGAUGUCGCAACUGCUGUUUCUGGCGUCAGGCGACCGAGUCAGUGUCGCGUCAGCUGCGUCAGCCACCAAGGUCAUCAACGAGGAUGUUGUGCAUGAUGUCGAAAAGAGACUGAACGACAAGCGACAGUCGGCAAGGCGUCCGAGCGUGUUGGAGGAGAUGUCGCGCGAGCAGUUGGCCGAUGAGAAGACAUUGGUGCAGCGCGCUCUGCUGCAGUUGGAAGCGGUCUACGGCCGUCCCAACACCAGGGAGCAGAGGGACCUCGUGAGGCCGCUCUACGACAGAUAUCGCCAGCUGAAGCGGCUCCUGGCCAGGGCCGUCGCUGCUGCCAAACUCAAGGAGGGAGUUGCCGAACUGGGCACAAUCUUGGAACACGAGCAGAUGGACUUCAGCAGUUCAUCACCACCACCACCCCCCGCACCCAUUGCCGCCUCUCUGCUGCCCCCGGCUGCCAUUGCUACCGCCCCCGUACAAGCAAGGCCCACCACCCCCGACUACUUCGAGAAUCUGCAUGCGCUGCCCAGAAAUGAACUGCUAGAUCAGCACAAGACAACUCGCGAGGAGAAGAAGCGUUUGCGCCGACAGCUGCACGAAUUUGAGGAUGAACUGGAGAGCAAGAUGGGACGCAAACUGCAGCGAGAGGACAGACAGCCAAUGGACGCCCUGUACACGCAGUACAAACAUGUCAAGGCCAAGUUGAGGCUCAUCGAGGCAUUGAUCACCAAGAAGUAGACAGGUUAGAAGCAGUACGGUGGUAUAACUGGUGAAGUAGACUGGUUAGAAGCAAUACAGUGAUAUAACUGGAGAAGUGGAUUGGUUAGAAGCAGUACAGUGGUAUAACUGGUGUAGUAGACUGGUUAGAAGGAGUACGGUGAUACAACUGGUGAAGUAGACUGGUUAGAAGCAGUACGGUGAUAUAACUGGUGUAGUAGACUGGCUAGAAGGAGUACGGUGAUAUAACUGGAGAAGUAGAGUGGUUAGAAGCAGUACAGAGGUAUAACUGGUGUAGUAGACUGGUUAGAAGGAGUACGGUGAUAUAACUGGUGAAGUAGACUGGUUAGAAGCAGUACGGUGGUAUAACUGGUUAGAAGCAGUACGGUGGUAUAACUGGUUAGAAGCAGUACGGUGGUAUAACUGGUUAGAAGCAGUACGGUGGUAUAACUGGUUAGAAGCAGUACGGUGUUAUAACUGGAGAAGUAGACUGGUUAGAAUGAGUACAGUGGUGUAACUGGUGAAGUAGACUGGUUAGAAGCAGUACAGUUGAUGUAAUGAGUUGUAUAACUAAUGAAGUAGACAGACUAGAAGGAGUACAAUAACUGGUGAAGUUCAACUUGAUGAAGAAAAUCUAAAGAGAGGAAUAUCUCUGUGAAGACAUAGUUAUGAGGAAUUGGUUAGUCGCAUACAGUGAUGUGACUAAACGCAGUUUGUUUAAACCUGGUUUGUAGUUGGAGUUUGAUUCGAAUUGAAGAAAACUGAAGAAAGUUAUACCUCUGUAAAGGCGGAGUUAUUAGGAAUUUGUUAGUCGCAUACAGUGAUGUGACUAAACGCAGUUUGAAUUGAGUUGAUCUGAGCUUAGAAUUAGAGUUUCAUACACCUUGAUCAACUACAUCUAAGGAGCGUUAGAUCUUGUAAAGAGAUCUUGGAGCUAUGAGGAAUGGUUAGUCGUAUACAGUGAUAUGACUAAACGCGGUUUGUUUGAAUUGAGUUGAACUAAUUUUGGAGUUGAAGUUUGAUUCAAAUUGAAGAAAACAAACUAGAGUUGUAGCUCUGUCAAGCUGGUGUAUGGUAGAGGAGUUAGUUAAGGUGAACUGUUUAAUGAACUAGAACCCGUCACUGAAACUGUAUAGUAAGACCUUGUUGACGUCCAUGAAGAUCGUUGUUAGAUUUGAACGUGGCUUGACUAGAUGUAAAAAUUAUUAAAAAAGAUGAAUAAAGAAGAUUGAGAGAAAGAAGUACCUGUAAAUUGAUUGACAGGUUUUGUUUGAUCACCAAAAUGUAGGAGCUAUUAGGAAAUGUAUUUGUAAUUGGUGAUUGAAACGGCUAAUACUGUAGUAGGUUUCAAAGCCAAAUUAAGGAGAAUAUGGAAAUGAUCAAGCUGGACGAGUGGAUGCUAGAAAAAUUCAAUCAAUGUCAUAUUGGUGUGAUGUAAACUGGACUUGACUUACAACAAAUCAAGUUUCGACGUAGAAGGGGAAUAUUAAGAACUUAUCUGGAAAAAGUAUAGGCUGGAAGGACUGGAGUAGUAUUGAUUUAUUCGUAUUGUUGAGAUGUAAAUUACACGUCAUUAAAUAUAGGUCGAGUUGAAAUUUAAUGGAAUAUCGAUCGAGAAAAUCUAGAGAUUACAUAGGUGACUCAAUGAUAGGUAUUAAGUGUAUGAGUAACAUUAAAAUAGGGUUUGAAGUCAAACUGAUUAGAGUGUUGAAACAGUGAUCUAUACAUUUAACAACAUGACUUUACACUGUACAAACUGGUUGAAUUCAACUUAUCUUGAUGAAAUUUGUGUUGAACUUGUAAGUGUAUUGGCUUGAUACAGUACAAAUAUAAUAAAUUUUAUCAGAACCUAGGUUCGGCUUAUUAAAGUAAUUGAAAAGGAUGUACUAGAGAGGAAUAAGUAAGCUUCAGUUUGAACAUGACUAAAAAUAGUGUUAUAUCUUUGAGCCAAUUUAACUAGGAUCCCAUAAAUGAAUGUAGAUUUCAUUUUAAAACUGGGAAAGACCAAGUAAAGAGGUUAUUUCCUGUACUCUUGUUCCAACCUCAAUGGAUGAUAAAUUGAAUAAUUUAAUUUUAGUAAAUUUGAUUGUAGAACUGCAAAAAGAUUUAGAUUUCAAUAGUAGAAAAUUCAACUGUGUAAGAAAUAAUCAAUGUUACAUAACUGGCUUCUUCUAUUAUUAAUUCUUAUUGGCCAAUAUAAUUUGUAAGUAAUUAAUAAGCUAUUGUCAAUCUUUAGAUAAAAUAU
rnacentral:misc_RNA from 1 species